UUGAAAGGGAAACGAUUGAAGUCAGUCGUACCAGCGGGAAUCAACCUUUCGAGUGGGGGUUUUGGAGUUUUGAAGAGUGUCAAAACCUUUGAGAUUUCAAAAUAUUCGCUCUUUUGGUGUACUUUCUCGUGGGUAGGUUAACAUCGAUUUUGAUCAUCAUAAAAAGAUUGGAGGAAUGUAGCUUCGAUCUUGUAUUGAAGUGUUAUAGCCUUUGGUAAAUGUGAUGAUUAGGAUCGAGGAUUGCAACGAAUACCCUUUUGGGCUAUCCGCCUGAUCUCUGAUACGUGGCCUUGGUAUCGAAAGCGUGCUUAUGGUAUUGAGGUAUUACGGUCAAAAGGUUAGAACGGAUUACAUUCGUUAAGGAUGUUGACGUA
rnacentral:rRNA from 1 species